rnacentral:rRNA from 1 species
GAUGAACGCUGGCGGCGUGCCUAAUACAUGCAAGUCGAGCGAACGGACGAGAAGCUUGCUUCUCUGAUGUUAGCGGCGGACGGGUGAGUAACACGUGGAUAACCUACCUAUAAGACUGGGAUAACUUCGGGAAACCGGAGCUAAUACCGGAUAAUAUUUUGAACCGCAUGGUUCAAAAGUGAAAGACGGUCUUGCUGUCACUUAUAGAUGGAUCCGCGCUGCAUUAGCUAGUUGGUAAGGUAACGGCUUACCAAGGCAACGAUGCAUAGCCGACCUGAGAGGGUGAUCGGCCACAACGGAACUGAGACACGGUCCAGACUCCUAAGGGAGGCAGCAGUAGGGAAUCUUCCGCAAUGGGGGAAAGCCUGACGGAGCCACGCCGCGUGGGUGAUGAAGGUCUUCGGGUCGUAAAACCCUGUUAUUAGGGAAGAACAUAUGUGGAAGUAAAUGUGGCCAUCUUGACGGUACCUAAUCAGAAAGCCACGGCUAACUACGUG